ACAACACAUAAAUAAGUAAAAAGCCGAAGGAAAAAAAAGGAACUGUGUUGUGCAUGUAGCGAUCCCUUUAAUGCUCUACUCUGUGUGUACAUACUGUAUUUAUGUUACACAGUGUCCCCGUAAGCUCCACUAGACCCGAAUACCGCGGUGCCUUCCAGUUCGAGGUGGUUGCUGUGCGCUACAGCUGCUGGCGCCUGCAGGCAGUCCCCCGGUUGCCCGGGAAACACAGAUGGUGGAUGAAGGGCGCGCAUACAAAAGAGCAUAAACCUGUGGCAGCAGCUGGAGAGCGAGCCCACUGAUUGAUUCCGCGCCGUGCAGUCCCUCUUAUUCAAAGACGUCUCUGUUCUCUCUAAUACCUCCCGUCCAUUCGCCUUUGUCCACUUCAUGCCGCUUCCCCCACCCCCCCCUCGGACCGGUCUCCCCCGUCAGUGCGCAGCUGUUGUGGGCACUCCCACAUCUGCCUGCCUGUCUCGGCUCGGCAGCCAUGCAGAGGACGCUCAGCCACGGCCCGUGUAAGCGCGUGUAGCGUGUCGGUCCAGAGGGGGCGACCGGCCGCCCACUGCGGGCUAACCGCUGCGCCCACGCGACAUGAAUCUGCACGUUUGUCGGCGCCUCUUAUCGUGGAGGGAAAAGAAGGAGGGAAAAAAAGAGAAGAUCCGUUUUUUUUAUUGUUGCGUCGCCUGAUGCUGCGGGUCACCUGCAUGGUGGAAGGUGGAGCUCACUGGUAACCUGUGGCUGGUUUUGCCGGACUCAUCUACAGUGGUGCCGACAUGUCCCUGGUCAUCGCACAUGGAAGAUCAGAACGGGAACCAGCAGCAGGACAGGUCAUGUGUACAUGCUUGGUUAUGUAUAUAAGAAAAAACACAAGCGAGGAUUGUUUUGAAUAGCACAAAAUAGCAGAUGUAGAAUUUAGUAUCAGUCAGUCAAUCAGAUAACUGAUACGGUCUCUCAUAUUUGUUGGCAGUUGGUGUUCUCAUUUGGCCGUAUAGAAAUCAGUAAGUCAUCUCUGGGGCAUCUUGGGAGGACAGUUGGGUUGUGUCCCACAUUUCUGCUGCUUUGUGUUGUGUAAUCCUCUCCAGCUGCACUGAUGCGCACUCCGGACCUCACAAGCGGUUUGGCUCCAUCGUCCUCUGCUGUGCUGCCUGACAGACCGCGAUCGAUGCAUGGUGCCAUCCCUAAUGUCCAGACCCGGAGAGGAUCCACGUCCAUGUGUCUCCCCACUGAGAGGCGACUUCUGAUGCUUUAGUGUGUCAGUGAAAACGGCCUGCCACUGCUGCUUAGUGGGCAGUGUCAGUGUGAACAGGAAAGCAUUUCACAGCCGGAGUUUUGAGUCCAAAAUCAUUUUCUGUCGCAUUUCUUCCUGUUUCAAAUAUGCACAUUUAAUAAGACCUGAUAUAGCUAAAUUUACUCCCACUAUCAUUACUUUUAUGGCUGAUCAAAAACAUUAAUGUAUUUAAUGCCCUGACUGACUUUACCAGGUUAUUAACCAGAAAUGAUGUUUGAAUGUGUUAACUCUGCUCCAAAGCUAAAAACGUUAUCAGUGGCAGAUCCAGGACUAGACAGUUUUGAUAUUUUAACAUAAAAAAAGACUGCUUAGCUGAGUGAGAAUAGUUUUCUCACAUUUUGACAAAGUGUAACUCACACAUUAUGUUCUUCGUUUGUCUUGAUACUUUCUAAUUUGGGUAUGAUACCAACCACUUUCAUGGUUUGACAGUACUCAGUGUAUUUUUACUGAAGCGUGUGGGCAGGUGUGUGCCAGCGUGAGAGCAUGUGUUUGUGUGCAUGUGCUCUAUUUGUGUGUGUGUGUGUGUGUGUGUUUAUUCCUGUACGUGUGCAUGUGUCUCUAUGAAAACACACCUUUGUAAUUGGCCUGAAGCUUCGAGCUGCUUUUCAGUGGAUUUCUCUUCGCUGCACAGAUUUCUUUUCCUCUCUUCUUUUAACACACUGAAUGUACCAGACAAAGGAUUAAAACAUAUUUACAAAUGAUUCUUAGCAUUUGUUAGGACCUCAUUGAAGUAGCAGUUUGGUGGGGGUUCCUGUGAUCCACACAACCACAGGAAUGAGGCUGGAAAUGAAUGGUGUGUAGUUUUCUAAAUGACACCUGCUAUAAUCAAUUAAACUGUUCCACGGCGUAUUGCCCCAUUAUCCAAUACUGCAGCAAAUGCUAAUAAUUAUGUGCAAAUAGCUUUUUUUACCAAGAUCUGGAUUCUACUAACAAUACCUGACUAAUAUCUAACAAUACUAAUGUCUGCUAACAGUCUGAUGAUUACUAACCUAUUCUCUGAAUGCUGAUGGCUGGCUUUGUUCUUUCUAACCCCCUGACUAACCCUCUGCUUUUUGCCCGCAGUCCAAUGCAAACACUCCUCUCUCAUGAUCCCGCAAUCCUUCUUGUAGAAAGCCUAGACUGGGAUGAAUUAUUAAAAGAAGAAAAUCAAUAAAAUCGGUUAAAGUGAGCAAGUCAAGAAGGGUUUCAGGACUUGGGAGGGUAAACGUUAUUAACCACUAGACUGAAAGAGGAGGAUAAUCAGCACCUUGAUAUCCAACUGGUUUGACCACAUACUUAAGAAUCCUCACAAAACCCAUUAUGAUCUAAUCACAAAAGAAUAUCACGUCACCGCGUCUCGAAUCACAGGCUAAAUUCACAUCUUAAGAGACCGUCUUUCUGUCUCUAUGUGGUCAACCCUUACAGAUGAGCGCCUGGCUGGUUGUCACCACAGGCCAAGCCAACCUCAACUCCACCACUAACUUAUUAUGGUAUUGAUACUAACACUGGUGAGGCUGUAAACACCCACCCUUUGCUGUUACUAACAUCUGCGUUCCUUCUGACUGAAACAUCCUGAUGUCUGUAAUCAAAUCAUUCCGUCCUUUUGUUCUCCUUUAAUUAGAUAUAAGAGCAUGCCUUGUGGCACCAGUGAUGCUAAUUAAAUUACAGUACAUGUAAAACAUCUUUUAGUGCUGUGAGUGAGUGUGCUUGUUAUCCAUGGGAACUAAGUCCUGUUGCUGCAGCAGUGUCAGUGAAAGAGCUAAAGAGCUAAAGAUAAACGAACCUCUACUAACGAAACAAAGUCAAGAGCGAUCUGCAAACUAACAAAACUAACCCACUAAUGAACUAAUAAUCUAACAACCACUAAAUAACUAACUGUGUGCUGAGUGGCAGAAUUAAUGAAGCACCCCGCUUUGUGGAGUUGCAUCACUUUUUGAAUGUGCUGACAUAGUUUAGUUUUUAACAAACAACUUAUUCAUGUUCCUUCUGUUAUUCGGUGUACGUCUGUGAGAGAAGGAGCACGCAGUGAAAGACGUUUUAGCCAAAGUUACACUCCAUCAAAACCAUAUGCUGUGUGAAGUAUCAUGGAUGUCAGGAAAAAUGAAUUUAAUGUACCUAAUUAGAGUUGUGCCGUAUUGCUAAUUAAUCACUUGUCCUUUCACGUGCGUUUGUAAUAAACAAUUGUCACAUAUUAAAAAAUCAUGGUUUAUUGUA